UACGAAGGGGCUAGCGUUGUUCGGAAUCACUGGGCGUAAAGCGCGCGUAGGCGGAUUGUUAAGUCAGGGGUGAAUGACCGAGGCUCAACCUCGGAACUGCCUUUGAUACUGGCAAUCUUGAGUCCGGGAGAGGUGAGUGGAACUCCUAGUGUAGAGGUGAAAUUCGUAGAUAUUAGGAAGAACACCAGUGGCGAAGGCGGCACUCUGGGCCGGUACUGACGCUGAGGAGCGAAAGCGUGGGGAUCAAACAGG
rnacentral:rRNA from 1 species